rnacentral:rRNA from 1 species
UGGCUCAGAACGAACGCUGGCGGCGCGCUUUUAAGCAUGCAAGUCGAACGGUAGAAAGGUGCUUGCACCUUUUGAGAGUGGCGAACGGGUGAGUAACACGUAAGUGAUCUGCCCGGGAAUUGGGGAUAGCCUGUGGAAACAUGGGGUAAUACCGAAUACGCCCUAUAGCUGGGAAGUUAUAGGGGAAAGGAGCUAAGGCUCCGUUUCCGGAUGAGCUUGCGGUUCAUUAGUUAGUUGGUGGGGUAAGAGCCUACCAAGGCGACGAUGAAUAGCCGGCCUGAGAGGGUGACCGGCCACACUGGGACUGAGAUACGGCCCAGACUCCUACGGGAGGCAGCAGCUAANAAUCUUCCGCAAUGGGCGAAAGCCUGACGGAGCGACGCCGCGUGAACGAAGAAGGCCGAAAGGUUGUAAAGUUCUUUUCUUGUGGAUGAAUAAGGACUGUAGGGAAUGACAGUCUGAUGACGUUAAACUUGGAAUAAGCCCCGGCUAAUUACGUGCCAGCAGCCGCGGUAACACGUAAGGGGCAAGCGUUGUUCGGAUUCAUUGGGCGUAAAGGGCGUGUAGGCGGCAUGUCAAGUCUGGUGUGAAAUAUCCCGGCUCAACCGGGAAAACGCAUUGGAAACUGACAAGCUAGAGUAUAGGAAGGGAAGCUAGAAUUCCUGGUGUAGGGGUGAAAUCUGUAGAUAUCAGGAAGAAUACCGGUGGCGAAGGCGAGCUUCUGGCCAUAUACUGACGCUGAGGCGCGAAAGCGUGGGGAGCGAAC